rnacentral:sRNA from 1 species
CUUUCCCCAAUCUGUGAAGUAGCUAAUAAUAUAGAACAAAAUGCUCAAGAGAAUGAAAAUGAAAGCCAAGUUUCAACAGAUGAAAGUACAACAGUGGAAAGUUGGGGACAAAUGUUCUGCCAUUUGGUCAGAAGACGGUUG